rnacentral:tRNA from 1 species
CUGGGUGUGGCGCAGCUUGGCUAGCGUACUAGCAUGGGGUGCUAGGGGUCGUAGGUUCAAAUCCUAUCACCCAGA